GACGAACGCUGGCGGCGUGCCUAAUACAUGCAAGUAGAACGCACAGUUUAUACCGUAGCUUGCUACACCAUAGACUGUGAGUUGCGAACGGGUGAGUAACGCGUAGGUAACCUGCCUGGUAGCGGGGGAUAACUAUUGGAAACGAUAGCUAAUACCGCAUAAUAUUAAUUAUUGCAAGAUAAUUGAUUGAAAGAUUCAACUGCAUCACUACCAGAUGGACCUGCGUUGUAUUAGCUAGUAGGUGAGGUAACGGCUCACCUAGGCGACGAUACAUAGCCGACCUGAGAGGGUGAUCGGCCACACUGGGACUGGGACACCGCCCAGACUCCUACGGGAGGCAGCAGUAGGGAAUCUUCGGCAAUGGACGAAAGUCUGACCGAGCAACGCCGCGUGAGUGAAGAAGGUUUUCGGAUCGUAAAGCUCUGUUGUAAGAGAAGAACGGGUGUGAGAGUGGAAAGUUCACACUGUGACGGUAUCUUACCAGAAAGGGACGGCUAACUACGUG
rnacentral:rRNA from 1 species